AAAACGAAUCACUUAAGGUGAUGGAAGUUAAUAGCAGAGGGCUUUUUUUGAGCUGGAGGGCAUUGUUGUGAGCAUGUAAGUUGAGUUUUAAGAAAAAGCUAGGCCACUAGAACUUUCAAGCCAGAGGUUUUAGCUGGUACCUCCAAGCCACGUCUAACUCCACUUGCCUCUUGUUGAUGCUGCUGCCUCGCAUCCCCAAGAGCCAAAGCAACC